UUUCACUUCCUUUGAAUCAGGCCUAACGAUAACACUGGAUGCGAAGCACGGAGCUCGGCGCUGAGCACAAUGACGGGACCAAGAGAAGAUGUUGACCUGAUGCUUCCACACUCAACCUGGCUUUAUACUUCGUCCUUAAACAAAUGCUGCUAAAAAUUGCCGAAGACAGGACACAGUGACAGACUGACCUUUAGUCUGCAAACUUUCUUGUAUUACACAAGACAUUAAAUGAAAUGGAAAAGAAAGAUGAUAUUAUCAUUGGCAAAAUCCUGCUAGCCUUAAUCAAUGGACAAAACUGGAUCUCUGGAGAAGUUACUGAGGACUGCUUGCACAGGAUACCUGCAGGAUGAGACCUGAGAUUCAGCCUCUCUCUCCCAGGCACAAGAAGAAAGAAAAACACCAGCUCUCGUUCACGACGGAGAUAACCCCAGCUAUCACUCAGCCGCCCAGGAGAGCUGAAUCCCGUUUGCUCCAGUGCCUAAUUCCGACUGAGCAGAGCACAUCUUGUCUCCGCUGGCAUUUCCGUUUGAAGGACCUUACCAUCCGAAACCUGGCAGCUCUCUUUUUGCCUUUCCCUCCGGUCUGGUGCUGUGGUGCCCGUGCUAAGGGCCGGCAGCGCAAUGUAGGAUUACCGGCGGCAGAGCCGCUAUGCUAAGACACACACUCCUAUUCCACAGAAAUGUUCCCUGCGUACCCUGGAAUUAGAGCGGCUUUACUUUUCUGACCAAAAAACCUGUUGUUACUAUUGUUAGCUCUGGGAGGGUGAGCCGGCUUCUAUUCUGUUUUGCACAUCAUCAACAAAAUCGUCAGCUAAUUUCCCAUUGCAGGAUCUUUAUUACCAGCAAUGAGCUAUGAGGCAGAAUGAAUAUAUUUUAAUUUCAAAUCUCAGGUGGAAGAUGCAGGUCAGCAGCUGGAAUAAAACAGAUUUUUGACGUGUAAACUAAGCAAAUAUGAUAUAGAAGUCACUGAAAAUGAAAAAUAAAGAUCUUAAUUUUAUCUAUGUUAAAGAAAAACUAAACUACAAACACAUUAAAAAACAUACUCCCCACCUCCCCCCGUUGUCCUGUUGCACUCUGUUAAGUCCCUUGUUUUCAAACUCACAUUGAAACACAGUUUUGCUAACUCUAAAAUAAUGAGACUGGCUUAAACAUCUUAAGUUCCCGAAAAAAUAAGGUAGAAUUUUUAAACUUCUAACCCUUUGUCAAAUUUGUGUUUGUAUUUUCAGGUGUUACAAAUGUGAGGAGUAGAAACACACUUAAAGAAAAAGCAGCUUAAAACGGUCAUGGGUUCAUUCACGUCCAAGAAUGACAGUUAUAAAGGAAGAAGCAAAUACUGAAACUCAAGAUAAAAUCUUGAGACUUUUCAAAACGGACCAGCACCACCCCUCACCCCCAACCAAAAGCAGCUCUUAGUCUGGAGUUCAACUGUAAAUCUCCACUAAGAAGGCAGAGUAAAAACACACAAGAAGAGUGUAAUUUCUUUAAAAAGAAAUUAAUUUUAAAAUAUUCCGAAAGCAAAGCCAUUUCAAGCUCAGCAGCUGCUAUUAAAAAAACUGAAGCACUGAGAGCCUUGCAAGUGCAAAUUAAGGUAUACUUCUCCUAGCCAGUCCUAAAGUGGAAAAGGGAGACAUUUGCACAGUUUGUACCCUCCAGUACAAAAACCUGUCCCAGGCAAGGGUCCAGUGGCAGGAAAUGUAAUGCAAUUAGAAUUUGGAAGCAGGCAUAAACAAGGAUUGAAUUAAAUUUCUAAUAGAAAGCUCAUUGUAGCUCUAAUUCUAUGGAAACUACAGCCACUUGAUAUAAUAAGCAGCCUACAGGUGGAGAUCCUAGUGCAACUUCAAAAAGAACAAGAGAAGUGGAGAUCGUAUGAAUGACCCCUCUUACCCCCACAAAAAAAGCACUGAGAAUAAGUAAUUGCUGUAAUGUGGAGUAGGUGUUCACACAAAGAAAACAUGAAAAAUUUAUAGAUCUAUAGGGUAUAAGGUUUUCCUUACUAUUACACUUCUUCAAGGUGUAAAAUAUGUUUUAAAGAACUACUUAUCCUAUUGUUAAAAAUGAGCUACUUUUGCUGAUACAGACGCUCAUGACACACAAUUUUGUCAAAGGUUUGGCUGAAAUCCAGAUAAAUUGUUCUGUGUGAACUUCUGUAUUUUUAUCAGCUUUGCAAAACUCUAUAAAGAUAAAAUCAAGAUAGAAAAC